rnacentral:lncRNA from 1 species
CACCUGCGCGCCCCAUCUCUUCAGGUCCAGCGCCGCCUACCCCCAUUUCGCCAUUUUUACCGGCGCGCCCGCCCCGAGGCGCAGAGGUAGGGCGAACGGUGGCCGCAGCUCCUUUCUCCCGGCUCAGCCGCCGGCCAGCAGUCGCGACGGAACCUCGGCCCACGUGACGCGGGCGCGCGCGUAUGGAACUGACGGUGGAGUUCCGCGAAGAAGGCGCCGCAGAGAAUUCGCAAACACCAACUGUAACCAGAGCAGCUGGGGGCGCGGCGGCGAAAGAAGCUGCGAAGCGCAUGCGCGCAGGACGCUGCGGGAGGGGAAAGGAGGGGAGGAGCGUGGAGCGUUCGCCUAGUUCCCGCGUUGCGGGGCGCACACGAGACUUGGCGACUCGCUGCCUCAGGGUUGCGUGCCUCCGGCCCUAACCUGCGCAGGCGGCCUGAGCUUGGGGCUCUGCUACGCCACCCACGCCCACCUUGGCGGAGGGCGGGGCCCCGUGCAGAAGGUUCAUGGUUAGUGGUUCCCUCUGGAAGGAACAGUCUAAGGUUUGUAGGACUUGCGUUCCACCUACCAAAGCUAAUCGAGUUAGAAGGCUCCAGACUGUGAAGCCUGAGGUGUCAUUUCUCAUUACGGUGGUGAGAGGACGGGACCGCACACUGUGAAGUCUUCGUUCCCACAUCCCACACUUCAUUCUUGCCGCCUAAGUUGUCGCCGUGGGACUAUUGAAAGGGUAUCAGCGAUAUUCAUCUUUCCUAUAAAUGGGAUCUGCUUUCUACAAUUUCCUGCCAGAUGUGUAAAGAUUGCAAGAAUUGAAGG